rnacentral:rRNA from 1 species
UACGUAGGUGGCAAGCGUUAUCCGGAUUUAUUGGGCGUAAAGAGAACGCAGGCGGUCUUUUAAGUCUGAUGUGAAAGCCUUCGGCUUAACCGGAGUAGUGCAUUGGAAACUGGGAGACUUGAGUGCAGAAGAGGAGAGUGGAACUCCAUGUGUAGCGGUAAAAUGCGUAGAUAUAUGGAAGAACACCAGUGGCGAAAGCGGCUCUCUGGUCUGUAACUGACGCUGAGGUUCGAAAGCGUGGGUAGCAAACAGG